GAUGAACGCUGGCGGCGUGCCUAAUACAUGCAAGUCGAGCGAACAGACGAGGAGCUUGCUCCUCUGACGUUAGCGGCGGACGGGUGAGUAACACGUGGAUAACCUACCUAUAAGACUGGGAUAACUUCGGGAAACCGGAGCUAAUACCGGAUAAUAUAUUGAACCGCAUGGUUCAUUGGUAAAAGACGGUUUUGCUGUCCCUAAUAGAUGGAUCCGCGCCGCAUUAGCUAGUUGGUAAGGUAACGGCUUACCAAGGCAACGAUGCGUAGCCGACCUGAGAGGGUGAUCGGCCACACUGGAACUGAGACACGGUCCAGACUCCUACGGGAGGCAGCAGUAGGGAAUCUUCCGCAAUGGGCGAAAGCCUGACGGAGCAACGCCGCGUGAGUGAUGAAGGUCUUCGGAUCGUAAAACUCUGUUAUUAGGGAAGAACAAAUGUGUAAGUAACUAUGCACGUCUUGACGGUACCUAAUCAGAAAGCCACGGCUAACUACGUG
rnacentral:rRNA from 1 species